rnacentral:rRNA from 1 species
CCUACGGGUGGCAGCAGUGGGGAAUAUUGCGCAAUGGGCGAAAGCCUGACGCAGCGACGCCGCGUGAGGGAUGAAGGUCUUCGGAUCGUAAACCUCUUUCAGCAGGGAGGAACGGUCACUGUGCUAAUCAGCAGUGAAUUGACGGUACCUGCAAAGGAAGCACCGGCUAACUCCGUGCCAGCAGCCGCGGUAAUACGGAGGGUGCGAGCGUUAAUCGGAAUUACUGGGCGUAAAGCGCUCGUAGGCGGUAUGUAAAGUCAAGGGUGAAAUCCCCGGGCUCAACGUGGGAACUGCCUUUGAAACUGGGAAACUAGAGUGUGUGAGAGGAUAGUGGAAUUCCAGGGGUAGGAGUGAAAUCCGUAGAUAUCUGGAGGAACAUCAGUGGCGAAGGCGACUAUCUGGAACAUAACUGACGCUGAGGAGCGAAAGCGUGGGUAGCAAACAGGAUUAGAUACCCGAGUAGUC